GAUUAAAAUAAUUUGUUGAUUAUUAACUCAUUUCAUAUUUCCAACAAUUAAAAAAUAAAAAUUAAGUGAAAACUUAAACCUACAGUGCGCCCAACCUGGAUUUACUCAGACUUGGAUUUCAAAAAGACCGGCCCAAAUCGGCAAACUCUCUAUCUAGUCCACAGGAAUGUUGUUUUCAAUCUACGGAUCCCUGAAUACUAAUAGGAGUCUGACAAGGUAAUUUAUUCGUUGCAUGCAUGCACACUAAAAGCAGAAGGAAUCAAGAGUGGCUAUCAGCUCAUUGCUGAGGUCAUAAUUGAAAUAGAAAUGUUGAAUUAGUGCUAUUGCUAAUUGUGGAUCACGUGGUCCCCUAAUUUAGUGCUAUUGAUCCUUUAUCCGAGUUUUAUCUUAUGUAAUGCUUUUAUAUACAUAAUUAAGAGAGAUAUAUUUAUUCUAAAAAAAUGAGGAUAUCAGUAAAAAUUAAAAAAAUAUAUAUAAUAUAUUAACAGAUAAAAAGAAUAUAAUUUUUAAUAAAUUAAAAAAUAUAUUUUUUAAUAUUUUAAUGGUAUUCUCACUUUAAAGAUAUCCUCAUUAUAGAAAGAUUAUUUUUAUAUAUGAAAAAUUUUCAAUAUUAAAAUCAGGGAUAACUUACACGUUAUUACGUAUUAUAAAACAUGAUAUUUAAUUCUAUACAUAAUUACUAGUUUUCAUUGGGAAAAAAAAAAAAAAAACCAACCAAAAAGAAGGAGAGUAUUAUAUACAUAAUAAAGUCAUAAUAACUUUAACAAAGCUCAUACAUGUAAGUUUGGAGAAGCAAUUGUGUGGGACAUACUACAGUGGGUCCCGAAGUGGGACAUACUACAGUGGGUCCCGAAGUGGGACAUACUAAUAGAGGAGCAUAGCCAAUACACAAAGUCGUAAUAACUUAAAAAUGUCUAUACAUGUAACACGAUACAUAAUAAAGCCAUCGUCAAUGCAUAAUAAAGUCAUAAUAUCUUAGAUUAAGUCUACGCAUGUAACACGACACAUGUUAUAAAAAUGAUUGGAAUUGAAGUUCGACUCAAUAUUAUAUUAUGUAUAGAUUUUGUUCCUUGACGGUGGAGAAUGAAAGUUGCUUCACAAAUAUUUCAUUAUGGAUCUAUCUUUGCACUGUUGUUUUGGUUGGCAAUAAACUAAAUAUAAGCCUUCUCAUAUGAAUCAAUUUGGCCAUGCAUAUUAAUUACAUAUUUAUUAUGAGAAUUUAAGAUGAUGCUCGUGUUCGUGUACAAUAUUUGUUUCACUUUACUCCAACAAAUUAUCAUUCCAUUAAUGAAGCCAUUCAAUUUUCGAACUUCAUACUGCCCACCGUUAUAUUGAGUUAAUACAUGGGGACAGGGUGUUUGUGCAGUGUCGUGCACGGCAGGGCGCUUAACGUGCUAUCAAUUAUCAAAUGGCCCGUACAGCUGCAAAACCUGUAAAAUGGCAGCAUUUGCAUGAGAUACGGCCGCAAUGCCUGUAAUAUUAUGUGGCAUUACCCUACCUUUUAUGCAUUGAAUUUGUGCAUGUUCUGCACUCGCUUAACGUUUUCUCAAACGUCAAAUGUAAUCGUUUUCUUCAUUGAGUUUGUGCAUGCAUGUUCUGGGCUUGCCUAUCGUUUUAUCAAAUGUGAAAUCUAAUCGUUUUCUUCUUUUUCUCCUUGUAGGUCCCUCCGCCGAAAAUAAAACUAUGGCUAAAAUUCGGAGACGUGUGUUAUGGACCGCUCAAUUUUGAGGCAAGAAUGUGCAAACUUUGCCUUGAUUUUAGAAGAUUCUAACUAUAGAACUCUUUUAACUUGUAAAUACGUACCUGGGAACUCUUUACAGUGGAAUGAGGAUUCUCUAAGAGUCAUGAGAAUUCUCUAGAAAGAAAGAUUCUGAAAUGUGGUAAACUUCCCUAUAAUUAAGUUUGGCACUUAGCAUUUCAUUCAAGUAAUUCCAAGCAUUCUCUACACAAUCAAGCAUUGUAUAAUAAUUAUCUUAUACGAACACACUCUUGUGAGUAAUAAAUUCUCUUCUCUUUGGUUCAAUUGCUCUCUAGUUGUCUUUUUUUCUCUAGUUAUUCCACAAGUAUCCUAGUUUAACCAGUAAAAAGCUCAAGGCUUAUUUAACAACUUUAAACGACAAUUGUCUAAAUAUCGCAUGAAUGUGCUGCGUAAAAUACUCAUCUUAUUCAUUGUAGUAAAUAAAUUAUGAAACUACCUAAUGCAAGUGCAUCUUUUUCAACCACAUGAUUAUGGAACAGAUUCUUAUUUUUACAUGACCUGGUGUCCACUGAAUGAACAAACAUGUUGUAGAUAACCCUAAUUUAAAACGAGGUAAAAAUGGAUAGAGUUUAUAUUGGAUAUCCAUAUAAUACCCAAUUGGACACUUAAAAAAUAUUUGUAUCUCUAUUCAAAAGGUUUUGAAUGGAUAUUUUGGCUAGCUCAUUUGAGCUAGAUAUAUUAGAUAUCCAACUUGGAUGGAUUAGUUUACCAUCUCUUUAGACGGCCCCUUUUAAUAUAUGAGUGGAGCUUCUAACACCUCUUUGAAACUAAUUAUCAAAAUAAUCCCACCUUUUGCAUUAAAUUUAUAAUUGUUUCUUUAAUGAUAAUUAUAAAAGGAAGAUAAAAGUUACAAUAAAGUUUAAAUAAAAUUUACAAUCAUCUAGAAUAAAUUAAUUAAAUUUUAAACUUACAAUUUCAAAAUAAAAUAAUUAUUAUUAUUAGGUAAUUUAUUUGUAUAUCAUAUAUAAGGAUUUAAUCAUUUAAAGACAAGUAGGAUCCAUGAUUUAUAAAGACAUUUUAGUUUAAUUAAAUUUAUUUUAUCCUUUAGAGUUAAACUAUUGGCACCCUCAAUAAUCCUUAUAA
rnacentral:lncRNA from 1 species